GCUUUCUGACAGCGACGGAUGUAAUCUCAAGGGCAGCUGAAGGCUCACGUACAUCGAGCGUGUAAGCUGACGUUCGCGGCCGCAAAUCUAUUAACCGGUUGCUAGUGUGCGUUUGACAGCUGAGGACGUGCAAUCAAAGUGUCAUCCGAUCUCAUCCGUCAAAUCCUAUACUCAAUAUCAGAGUUUCAGAACUGUUCGACAGAUGAUAAACCAGGCUUUCCGGUCUAAGAUCUUGCUAAGACUAUCUUGCUAACGAAGUUAUGCCUGCCAUUUCCGGUUUACUAGACUAGAAUGAUACCACAUACUUGGAUAGUCAGUCCUCACUACGGGGGAACGAUCUGGAAGGGAUUUGAACCCCGGUCCUGCCGAAUGAAGACCGGUGUCGUUAUCGACUCACCAUCCAAGUAUUCUAUCACCAAAUCUAAUCCAAGUUUUUUUUUAUUAGAAUAAUUUUAUUUUGCUCCAACAUAAUCUCUCUUAGCUCACAAGGUGAACUAGAAUGGUGAUGCCUUAAAAAUAGAGCUAACAAAUUGAGCAAAAGUUAAACUUAAAUAUAUAAAUAAAUUGAGCAAAAGUAUAUAACAUAUAACAUAUUUAAAAUAUCCUUCAUGUAACCAACGAAUUAGAGCAAAUUUAUGCGAUUAGAAGCAUUUACAAUGUCUUAUGGUUUAGCAGGGGCAGCACGGCAACUAGAACAAACCCAAAAUUAUAGCACCGUCAAGGAAUUUUACAGCAAAUGAACUUGCGUUCGGAAUGAACACACGCGCUGUGUUCAUGAAGUCAGAGCGAAAAGCAUCGCGCGGUUUCGCUACCGAUCGAUCGAAGGGCGAAAGCUUUAAAAGCUCUUUCAGGUGGAAGCUUACAGUUUUGAAUUGUUUGUGACCAGCU